GCUUACGGCCAUACCACCCUGAGAACGCCCGAUCUCGUCUGAUCUCGGAAGCUAAGCAGGGUCGGGCCUGGUUAGUACUUGGAUGGGAGACCGCCUGGGAAUACCAGGUGCUGUAAGCA
rnacentral:rRNA from 1 species